rnacentral:tRNA from 1 species
AAAGCCUUAAGUUAAUUAAACUAUUAACCUUCAAAGUUAAAAAUAUAACAAUAAAUAUAGGCUUUA